rnacentral:rRNA from 1 species
GACGAACGCUGGCGGCGUGCUUAACACAUGCAAGUCGAACGGAGCGAAUGAAAGCUUGCUUUUAUAAGCUUAGUGGCAAACGGGUGAGUAACACGUAGGCAACCUGCCGACAGGAUGGGGACAACAUUCCGAAAGGAAUGCUAAUACCGAAUGAAGCGGAGGAGAGGCAUCUCCCCUCCGUGAAAGAUGGCCUCUUUUUAUGCUAUCACCUGUCGAUGGGCCUGCGUCUGAUUAGCUGGUAGGUGAGGUAACGGCUCACCUAGGCGACGAUCAGUAGCCGGUCUGAGAGGAUGAACGGCCACAUUGGGACUGAGACACGGCCCAGACUCCUACGGGAGGCAGCAGUGGGGAAUCUUCCGCAAUGGGCGCAAGCCUGACGGAGCAACGCCGCGUGAGUGAAGAAGGUCUUCGGAUCGUAAAGCUCUGUUGAUGGGGACGAACGUGCCUAAUGCGAAUAGUUUUAGGCAANGACGG